rnacentral:lncRNA from 1 species
GAUCUCGCAGCAACACCUGCAAUAAAAAGCAGAAGCAGUCAAAGUGCUGGUGUGUCCUCGACACUAUGUUUGAAAACUUUUAGGCAAGAAGGGUGCAAGAAGCAAGCAACACAACUGCAUUUAUUUCCAUAAUUCCCCAUUUUAAUGGCCUUUUCUUUUUGCUUAGACAAUGCCUACGCCUAGCCACAGCAGCUCCCUCGUACAGACUCCGCAAGCCAAGAGGCCGUGGAGGCAAAUGCAGGCAGCCAGCACACCUCGAACAGCCACCUUCACUGCGGGUGUGUCAGUAGAUUCCUGUUGUACAUAUGCUCAUAAUAAACUUCAGUAAACUUGAACUUCAUAAUAAACUUGAAGGCAAA